GUCGAGCGAGGCGAGGGGGGCAACUCCCUCAGUCGAGCGGCGGACGGGUGAGUAACACGUGGGUCACCUGCCCGGAAGUGGGGAAUACCUCGGGGAAACUCGAGCUAAUUCCGCAUGACAUCGUCGGGACGCCCGUCCUGACGAUCAAAGCGGGGCCGCAAGGCCUCGCGCUACCGGAUGGGCCCGCGCCCGAUUAGCUAGUUGGCGAGGUAACGGCUCACCAAGGCGACGAUCGGUAACCGGCCUGAGAGGGCGAUCGGUCACACCGGAACUGAGACACGGCCCGGACUCCUACGGGAGGCAGCAGUGGGGAAUCUUGCGCAAUGGGCGAAAGCCUGACGCAGCAACGCCGCGUGGAGGAUGAAGGCCCUUGGGUUGUAAACUCCUGUCGGUUGGGAAGAAAUCGUUCGGGGUCAAUACCCCCGGACGUUGACUGUACCAGCAAAGGAAGCCCCGGCUAACUCUGUGCCAGCAGCCGCGGUAAUACAGAGGGGGCCAGCGUUAUUCGGAAUUAUUGGGCGUAAAGGGCGCGUAGGCGGCCAUGCGUGUCUUCCGUGAAAUCCCUCGGCUUAACUGAGGACGUGCGGAAGAAACUGCAAGGCUUGAGUCCGGGAGAGGGGGGUGGAAUUCCCAGUGUAGCGGUGAAAUGCGUGGAUAUUGGGAGGAACACCGGUGGCGAAGGCGGCUACCUGGACAGUGACUGACGCUGAGGCGCGAAAGCGUGGGGAUCAAACAGGAUUAGAUACCCUGGUAGUCCACGCCCUAAACGAUGAGAACUAGCCGUUGGAGGAGCUUUGUCCUUUAGUGGCGCAGCUAACGCGAUAAGUUCUCCGCCUGGGGAGUACGGCCGCAAGGUUAAAACUCAAAGGAAUUGACGGGGG
rnacentral:rRNA from 1 species